CCCGCUGAACUUAAGCAUAUCAAUAAGCGGAGGAAAAGAAACUAACAAGGAUUCCCCUAGUAGCGGCGAGCGAAGCGGGAAGAGCUCAAAUUUAUAAUCUGGCACCUUCGGUGUCCGAGUUGUAAUCUCUAGAAAUGUUUUCCGCGCUGGACCGCACACAAGUCUGUUGGAAUACAGCGGCAUAGUGGUGAGACCCCCGUAUAUGGUGCGGAUGCCCAGCGCUUUGUGAUACAUUUUCGAAGAGUCGAGUUGUUUGGGAAUGCAGCUCAAAUUGGGUGGUAAAUUCCAUCUAAAGCUAAAUAUUGGCGAGAGACCGAUAGCGAACAAGUACCGUGAGGGAAAGAUGAAAAGCACUUUGGAAAGAGAGUUAACAGUACGUGAAAUUGUUGGAAGGGAAACGCUUGAAGUCAGACUUGCUUGCCGAGCAAUCGGUUUGCAGGCCAGCAUCAGUUUUCCGGGAUGGAUAAUGGUAGAGAGAAGGUAGCAGUUUCGGCUGUGUUAUAGCUCUCUACUGGAUACAUCUUGGGGGACUGAGGAACGCAGUGUGCCUUACGGCGGGGGUUUCGACCUCUUCACACUUAGGAUGCUGGUGGAAUGGCUUUAAACGACCCGUCUUGAAACACGG
rnacentral:rRNA from 1 species